rnacentral:rRNA from 1 species
GAUGAACGCUGGCGGCGUGCCUAAUACAUGCAAGUCGAGCGAACAGACGAGGAGCUUGCUCCUCUGACGUUAGCGGCGGACGGGUGAGUAACACGUGGAUAACCUACCUAUAAGACUGGGAUAACUUCGGGAAACCGGAGCUAAUACCGGAUAAUAUAUUGAACCGCAUGGUUCAAUAGUGAAAGACGGUUUUGCUGUCACUUAUAGAUGGAUCCGCGCCGCAUUAGCUAGUUGGUAAGGUAACGGCUUACCAAGGCAACGAUGCGUAGCCGACCUGAGAGGGUGAUCGGCCACCCUGGAACUGAGACAAGGUCCAGACUCCUACGGGAGGCAGCAGUAGGGAAUCUUCCGCAAUGGGCGAAAGCCUGACGGAGCAACGCCGCGUGAGUGAUGAAGGUCUUCGGAUCGUAAAACUCUGUUAUUAGGGAAGAACAAAUGUGUAAGUAACUAUGCACGUCUUGACGGUACCUAAUCAGAAAGCCACGGCUAACUACGUG